rnacentral:piRNA from 1 species
AAGCCCAGGGUCAGAUGUAGGCUCUUGA